rnacentral:tRNA from 1 species
AAGAAUUUAGUUUAAAUUAAAAAUAUUAGAUUGUAAAUCUAAAGUUGUUAUUCUUG